AUUGAACGCUGGCGGCAGGCUUAAUACAUGCAAGUCGAGCGAAUCGAUGGGAGCUUGCUCCCUGAGAUUAGCGGCGGACGGGUGAGUAACACGUGGGUAACCUGCCUGUAAGACUGGGAUAACUUCGGGAAACCGGAGCUAAUGCCGGAUACUUUCUUUUCUCGCAUGAGGGAAGAUGGAAAGAUGGUUCUGCUAUCACUUACAGAUGGACCCGCGGCGAAUUAGCUAGUUGGUGAGGUAACGGCUCACCAAGGCAACGAUGCGUAGCCGACCUGAGAGGGUGAUCGGCCACACUGGGACUGAGACACGGCCCAGACUCCUACGGGAGGCAGCAGUAGGGAAUCUUCCGCAAUGGACGAAAGUCUGACGGAGCAACGCCGCGUGAGCGAAGAAGGCCUUCGGGUCGUAAAGCUCUGUUGUUAGGGAAGAACAAGUACGAGAGUAACUGCUCGUACCUUGACGGUACCUAACCAGAAAGCCACGGCUAACUACGUGCCAGCCGCCGCCGUAAGAC
rnacentral:rRNA from 1 species